UUCAUUUCCACCAUUUAUACCUCUCUCUAGUUCCUAUCUCUGAAAUGCGGCCAUGGAAGCUCUAAUUUCUUGCUGAAAGUUCGUGUUUGCGUGUUUCUUAGCUUGAAUCAGUGAAUGUUGUGCAUUCUGGAGCUGACUGAAAUUUAGCAAAGGAGUCACGUUCGAGAAUUGGCCUAUAAAGUUCUUCAAGAACAUGAAUAAUCUAGAGCGUGGUUGGAUGUAUGAGAGGUUAGAUGGUCGAGGAGCUUUAUAAUAUAGUUUUGUAAUCUGUGUGAAUGAAUUUAUCCAAUUCGCAUGUUCUCAACCGAAUCGGAUGAGUGGUGACAAAUUUAGAUGUCCAUGUACAAAGUGUCAGAACUUUAAAUUCAUGGAUGUUGAAACUCUUAAAUAUCACCUUUAUCAAAAUGGAUUUGUUGAGAACUAUUUUAUUUGGAAGCAUCAAGGGAAAAAAAUGUAAUAAGUGGGACUUCUUAUGUUAAUGACUUGCAUGGUGGUGGUCAACCUAAAUUAGGAGAAAAUCCAUACCGACAAAUGAUUUUGGAUGCAGCUGGUCCUAACUUUCCCCAAGGUUUGAGUUGGCAAUCUUCUACCAAUAUUGAACUUGAGACUUCUGAUCCUUUUGAACAUUCAAUGGAGGAAGAUCCUAAUCUUGUGUUUAGAAAAUUUUAUGAUUUACUACAAGCUGUUGAUGCAGAAUUUAUCCCGGUUCAAAUCUCUCUCAACUUGUAGUUGUCUCUCGGAUGUUAAAUAUUAAAAUGGACAACAAUAUGUCAUAGAGAGGUUAUAACCAGAUGAUGCAAUUGUUUAAAAAGGCUUUACCGGAAGAUAACAUAGUGCUUGAUAGCUAUUAUAAGACUAAAAAGCUAGUGUGUAGCUUGGGUUUGUCGAUUGAAAAGAUUGAUUGUUAUGAAUCAGGAUGUAUGUUGUAUUGGGGUGAUGAUGAACACCUUAUAUCUUGUACAUUUUUUG